rnacentral:pre_miRNA from 1 species
UAUCUACUGGGAACAUUUCUGCAUAAAUUUCACCAUAGAUACCAGUGUGUAGAAGUGCUUAGAAUUUACC